rnacentral:lncRNA from 12 species
ACCUUUGCUCCCUGAGGCAGCUUGAGGAGAGACCCUUCACAGGCACUUGUAAGAGACCACCUUAAGCCCAGUCUGGGCUGCAGCGAGAAAGCAGAGGUUGGAAUAAAUAGGUAAAAUAAAGGUCUGAAUUGAUAAGUAGUGGCAACAAUAUGGAGCAUUGUUAAUUAUUCUACAAGGAAUCUUGUUAUCCAUUUAUUUUAUAGAUAACAGUGCAGACCUUGUAAAUUGUAAUAGAAUGUUUGGUUUCUGAACAUAAAUGAAUAAAAAGAUGUAAAUUCUCAAGGUAUUUAAUUCUAAUGAAAUUCAAAGAACUUAAACUUCCAUUCAAAUAGAGAAAUCUAUUAUCUUUUUAGACAAUUGGCUUGUUCAUUGGUCCUUCCAAGGACAUUAAAUAAAACAUGUAUGAAUGUUCCUUUGUUGGAGUCUGCAUAGAUUUCACAGUGCCUAACAUUUUUCCUAAUAAAGAAGCAACUUUCUGUCCUUUUCUUUUCUGUAUUUCCACUGCUACCAUCGUAAUUCUACGUUGUUUUUCACCUGGACUUUUGCAGUUUCCGGCUAGGUGGUGUCACCACAUUCUGUAUACAGCAGAGGCCUUAGUUCUGCAUUCCAGAGAUGCAUCAGGAAGCCAAAUGCACAGCUGGCACAGACAGUGUCUCCUGGGCCAACUCCUUAACUUUCUUCUCUUUCAUUGUGGUCCUUGACUCAUCUCUUCCAGGAAACACACAGGUCCCUUUUCUCCAUCGCUGGUUUUCUGGCCUAGGGAGACAGCUCUGACCAAAAGAAUCCUCAACUCUUUCACCUCAGUGGAAAUUUUCUUCCCUUCCUCUGCUUCCACCCCCACUUGUUCCUCUGACAGCUGAACUGCCAGCACUGCCUGUGCCCGGGGCUUCUGAAUCCUCCCACACAACCCAACAACCUGCCCAUUCAUCCUGCAACCCGCAAGAACAGCCGGAAACCACCAGGCUUCCACCAAACUGAUACGUGAUAGAUUUUGUCCACAGGAACAAAAUGAGUAAGUCCAGCCCAUCUCAGCUGGAAAGGAAAUACCCAUUUACACUCUCAGCAAUGAGAGGGGCAGUGUGGGACUAAUCUCGAAGUCAAUAAAACGUUAAUGUGUAAAUGAAGAAAACA